AGGUGGUUAUGUAAGUCUGAUGUGAAAAUGCAGGGCUCAACUCUGUAUUGCGUUGGAAACUGCAUGACUAGAGUACUGGAGAGGUAAGCGGAACUACAAGUGUAGAGGUGAAAUUCGUAGAUAUUUGUAGGAAUGCCGAUGGGGAAGCCAGCUUACUGGACAGAUACUGACGCUAAAGCGCGAAAGCGUGGGUAGCAAACAGGAUUAGAUACCCUGGUAGUCCAGCGCCGUAAACGAUGAUUACUAGGUGUUGGGGGUCGAACCUCAGCGCCCAAGCUAACGCGAUAAGUAAUCCGCCUGGGGAGUACGUACGCAAGUAUGAAACUCAAAGGAAUUGACGGGGACCCGCACAAGCGGUGGAGCAUGUGGUUUAAUUCGACGCAACGCGAGGAACCUUACCAGCGUUUGACAUC
rnacentral:rRNA from 1 species